AACGAACGCUGGCGGCAGGCCUAACACAUGCAAGUCGAGCGCCCCGCAAGGGGAGCGGCAGACGGGUGAGUAGCGCGUGGGAACCUUCCCAGUGGUACGGAAUAGCUCAGGGAAACUUGAGGUAAUACCGUAUACGCCCGCAAGGGGAAAGAUUUAUCGCCAUUGGAUGGGCCCGCGUCGGAUUAGCUAGUUGGUGGGGUAAUGGCUCACCAAGGCGACGAUCCGUAGCUGGUCUGAGAGGAUGAUCAGCCACACUGGGACUGAGACACGGCCCAGACUCCUACGGGAGGCAGCAGUGGGGAAUAUUGGACAAUGGGCGCAAGCCUGAUCCAGCCAUGCCGCGUGAGUGACGAAGGUCUUCGGAUUGUAAAGCUCUUUUGGCGGGGACGAUAAUGACGGUACCCGCAGAAUAAGCCCCGGCUAACUUCGUGCCAGCCGCCGCCGUAAAAC
rnacentral:rRNA from 1 species